UUACGGCCAUAUCACGUAGAAAAACCGGUUCUCAUAUGAUCAUCGAAGUUAAGCAACUUCGAGCCUGGUUAGUACCUACAUGGGUAAUCACUUAGGAAUACCAAGUGCUGUAAG